UACGAAGGGGCUAGCGUUGUUCGGAUUUACUGGGCGUAAAGCGCACGUUAGGCGGAUCGUUAAAGUGAGGGGUGAAAUCCCAGGGCUCAACCCUGGAACUGCCUUUCAUACUGGCGAUCUUGAGUCCGGAAGAGGUGAGUGGAACUCCUAGUGUAGAGGUGGAAUUCGUAGAUAUUAGGAAGAACACCAGUGGCGAAGGCGGCUCACUGGUCCGGUACUGACGCUGAGGUGCGAAAGCGUGGGGAGCAAACAGG
rnacentral:rRNA from 1 species